GUAGGGGGCAAGCGUUAUCCGGAAUCACUGGGUGUAAAGGGAGCGUAGACGGCUGUGCAAGCCUGAAGUGAAAGGCCGGGGCCCAACCCCGGGACUGCUCUGGAAACUGCCUGGCUGGAGUACAGGAGAGGUAAGUGGAAUUCCUAGUGUAGCGGUGAAAUGCGUAGAUAUUAGGAGGAACACCAGUGGCGAAGGCGGCUUACUGGACUGUAACUGACGUUGAGGCUCGAAAGCGUGGGGAGCA
rnacentral:rRNA from 1 species